rnacentral:rRNA from 1 species
GGGGAAUUUUGGACUAAUGGGCGCAAGCCUGAUCCAGCCAUGCCAGCGUGUNGUGAAGAAGGCCUUCGGGUUGUAAAGCCCUUUUGUUGGGAAAGAAAAGCAGUCGAUUAAUACUUGGUUGUUNUGACGGUACCCAAAGAAUAAGCACCGGCUAACUUCGUGCCAGCAGCCGCGGUAAUACGAAGGGUGCAAGCGUUACUCGGAAUUACUGGGCGUAAAGCGUGCGUAGGUGGUUGUUUAAGUCUGUUGUGAAAGCCCUGGGCUCAACCUGGGAAUUGCANUGGAUACUGGNCGACUAGAGUGUGGUAGAGGGUAGUGGAAUUCCAGGUGUAGCAGUGAAAUGCGUAGAGAUCGGGAGGAACAUCCAUGGCGAAGGCAUCUACCUGGACCAACACUGACACUGAGGCACGAAAG